UACAGAGGGCCCAAGCGUUGUUCGGAUUCACUGGGCGUAAAGGGUGCGUAGGCGGUCGGGUAAGUCUGAUGUGAAAUCUCACAGCUUAACUGUGAAACUGCAUUGGAUACUAUCCGGCUAGAGGAAUGGAGGGGAGACUGGAAUACUUGGUGUAGCAGUGAAAUGCGUAGAUAUCAAGAGGAACACCAGUGGCGAAGGCGAGUCCCUGGACAACGUCUGACGCUGAGGCACGAAAGCUAGGGGAGCAAACAGG
rnacentral:rRNA from 1 species